rnacentral:rRNA from 1 species
GAUGAACGCUAGCUACAGGCUUAACACAUGCAAGUCGAGGGACCGGCGCUCGGGUGUGUAACACGUAUCCAUCCUGCCCUUUACUCGGGGAUCGCCUUUCGAAAGAAAGAUUACUACCCGAUCUAAUGGAUGGGGAUGCGUUCCAUUAGGUUGUUGGUGAGGUAACGGCUCACCAAGCCUUCGAUGGAUAGGGGUGCUGAGAGGAAGGUCCCCCGGAUGUGAACUGAGACACGGACUAAAAUCCUAGGGGGGGGAGGGGUAAGGUAGAUUGUUGACUGGGGGCUAGCCUGAACCAGCCGAGUGGCGUGAAAGAUGAAGGCUUAUGAAUCGUAAACUUCUUUUAUAUAAGAAUAUGUAUUAUAAGAAUAAGGAUCGGCUAACUCCGUGCCAGCAGCCGCGGUAAUAG